rnacentral:rRNA from 1 species
GAUGAACGCUGGCGGCGUGCCUAAUACAUGCAAGUCGAGCGAACAGAUGAGGAGCUUGCUCCUCUGACGUUAGCGGCGGACGGGUGAGUAACACGUGGAUAACCUACCUAUAAGACUGGGAUAACUUCGGGAAACCGGAGCUAAUACCGGAUAAUAUAUUGAACCGCAUGGUUCAAUAGUGAAAGACGGUUUUGCUGUCACUUAUAGAUGGAUCCGCGCCGCAUUAGCUAGUUGGUAAGGUAACGGCUUACCAAGGCAACGAUGCGUAGCCGACCUGAGAGAGUGGUCGGCCACACUGGAACGUGAACAGGCACAAGGCGCCUGAGAGACGGAGCAGAAGGGAACCGGACGCAACGGGGGAAAGUCUGACGGAGCAGGGGGACGUGAGAUAUGGAAGUGUCGGGAGCGGAAUAAUCGGCUACUAGGGGAGAACAAAUGUGUAAGUUACUAUGCACGGCUUGACGGUAACGGGUAAGAAAGCCACGGCUAACUACGUG